GUCUGGGGCCAAACACCGUAUAUGUGCCUGAGCUCAUCUGUCUUAGAAGCUAAGUGGAGUCAGGCCUUCUUAGCUCAGUAUUAGAACAAAAGGCAAAGAUGGAAGCAGAAC
rnacentral:rRNA from 1 species